rnacentral:rRNA from 1 species
UACGUAGGGUGCAAGCGUUGUCCGGAAUUAUUGGGCGUAAAGAGCUCGUAGGCGGUUCGUCACGUCGGCUGUGAAAUCCCGAGGCUCAACCUCGGGUCUGCAGUCGAUACGGGCGGACUGGAGUUCGGCAGGGGAGACUGGGAUUCCUGGUGUAGCGGUGAAAUGCGCAGAUAUCAGGAGGAACACCGGUAGCGAAGGCGGGUCUCUGGGCCGAUACUGACGCUGAGGAGCGAAAGCGUGGGGAGCGAACAGG